CCUCUUCUCCUUCUCUCAUGUCCCCUUUGAUCUCUCGAAUCCUUUUCCUCUCUUCUCUCUUGUCUCUUCAAGCACAUUGUUCUUCUUCCCUAAAUACUAUUAAGUUCAUAAAUUUGUUUUUCUUCUUCGGUAUAUUAAGUGUUAUUUCUUCUUCUGGUUUAAUAUGAGAUUAUUCUCCUAAUUAAUCUUUAAGGUCCAUCGCCAUCGCCGGAGGUUUCCAAUCAGAGUUAGGGUUUUUGAGGGCCGGGAGUGGCGCCGGCGAAGGAGAGGAUGUUGAAUAGGAUCAUCAAGCGGGGGGGCCUCAAGCUCCCCAAAACCGACGCCAACGAGCCGCCUGCCGUCGUCGUCGGCCACGUCUCCCGCCCCGCCGCGGGCUGUGACACCUCCUCCGUCCCCUCGAUCGAGGCUCUCCCACUCUUCCGUGACGUCCCCGCGGGGGAGCGGCAAUCCCUCUUCAUCCGUAAGCUCCGGUUGUGCGCCGUCGUCUUCGACUUCUCCGACAUGAUCACCCUCCGCUGCGCCCGUGAGCGGGAGGUCAAGCGGCGGAACCUCGCGGAGCUUAUUGACUUCGUCCAGUCCAGCUCCGACCGCCUCGCCGAGCCUGUGCAGGAGGAGCUGGUCCGCACCAUCGCCACCAACAUCUUCCGCUGCCUGCCCCCGGCCGCCCACGAGAACACCGGCUCCGAGGCCGCCGCCGCCGCCGCCGAUCCCGAGGAAGAGAACAUCUUUCUCGACCCCGCCUGGCCCCACCUCCAGCUUGUCUACGAGCUCCUCCUCCGCUACGUCGUCUCCUCCGACACGGACGCCAAGGUCGCCAAGCGCUUCAUCGACCACGCCUUCGUGCUUCGCGUCCUCGACCUCUUCGACUCCGGGGACCCUCGCGAGCGCGAGUACCUCAAGACCAUCCUCCACCGCAUCUACGGCAAGUUCAUGGUCCACCGCCCCUUCAUCCGCAAGGCUAUCAGCAACAUCUUCUACCGGUUCAUCUUCGAGACAGAGCAGCACAACGGCAUCGGUGAGCUGUUGGAUAUCCUCGGCAGCAUCAUCAACGGGUUCGCACUGCCCAUGAAGGAGGAGCACAAGCUGUUCCUCGUGCGGGUGCUCAUUCCCCUGCACAAGACGAAGCCGGCAGGGGUUUACCACCAUCAGCUCGCCUACUGCACAACGCAGUUCGUGGAGAAGGACUGCAAGCUUGCGUACACUGUGAUCCGAGGGCUGUUGAAGUAUUGGCCACUGACCAACUGCCAGAAGGAGUUGCUGUUCCUCGGGGAGUUGGAGGAGGUACUGGAGACCACGCAGCCCACAGAGUUCCAGCAGUGUAUGGUUCCGUUGUUCAAGCAGAUCUCCCGCUGCCUCAAUAGCUCUCACUUCCAGUUAUUCGGAGCAAGAAAGUUCAAUAUAUAUAUUGUGUCGCAAGUAACAUCUCAGACAUUGCCUCUAAAUGAGUGAUAUUGCUGCCGUGAUCAGGGGGUUCAAACACAUGAUUUAUGAUCCUGAGGUUUCGGUUGCUGAACGGGCUCUCUAUCUUUGGAACAACGAUCACAUCGUCAGCUUGAUCUCGCAAAACUGCAGUAUCAUUUUGCCAGUCAUAUUCGAAGCACUGGAGAAGAACAUGCAGAGCCACUGGAACCAAGCAAUUCAUGGCCUAACCGCAAAUGUCCGAAAGAUGUUUCAAGACAUGGAUGGUGAUCUUUUUGAGGAUUGCCGACAGCAGUAUAUAGAGAGAGUAGCAAGUGCCAAAACCUUGGAAGAAGAACGAGAGCUGGCAUGGAGACAACUAGAAGCUGUAGUUGCAGCCAAAGCUGCUGGAGAAGCAAUCAUUCUUGUCAAUUAGCCUAGCUUGCAGCCUCUCUCUCUCUCUCUCUCUCUCUCUCUCUCUCUCUCUCUCUGUAUAUAUACACAUGUAUCUUCUUUUUUCCUUCAUGUUUUUCUGUGUAAUGUAAUUUAAUGUAUCAUUUGAGGAUUUGUCUGCCUGUGAUGAUGAAUUGUUUUUGAGAUUAUUGACUUUUCAGAGAGGUUGUAUUGCCUCUCCUGCU